rnacentral:rRNA from 1 species
UGAGGAAUAUUGCGCAAUGGGCGAAAGCCUGACGCAGCGACGCCGCGUGGAGGAUGAAGGUCUUAGGAUUGUAAACUUCUGUUAAGUGGGAAGAAAGUCCCGUUUCUAAUACGGAUGGGAGAUGACGGUACCACUAAAGAAAGCACCGGCUAAACUCGUGCCAGCAGCCGCGGUAACACGAGUGGUGCGAGCGUUAUUCGGAUUUAUUGGGCGUAAAGGGCGCGUAGGUGGUAUAUUAAGUCAACUGUUAAAUUCUCCGGCCCAACUGGAGGUCAGCGGUAGAUACUGGUAAACUAGAGGGUGAGAGAGAGAAGUGGAAUUCUCGGAGUAGCGGUAAAAUGCGUAGAUAUCGAGAGGAACACCAAUGGCGAAGGCAGCUUCUUGGCUCAUUCCUGACACUGAGGCGCGAAAGCGUGGGGAGCAAACAGG